rnacentral:lncRNA from 1 species
CCGUGGCCUAUUUUUGGCACACAGAGGCCGCCCGCGAAGUAUGGUGCCAUUCCGAGCCCCGCGGACGAACUUCGCCCACGCCCCCCACCAAGGCUAUAGCCCACGCGUUUCUUGGCCUUUUUUCCGCUGGGGGGUCUUGUGACCCCGACCUUCGGGGGCUGAUUUUUGGGCGCGGCUGUGCCCGUGGCCUAUUUUUGGCACACCGAGGCCGCCCGCCAAGUAUGGUGCCAUUCCGAGUCCCGCGGACGAACUUCGCCCACGCCCCCCACCAAGGCUAUAGCCCACCCGUUUUUUGGCCAUUUUUCCGCUGGGGGGUCUUGGGACCCCGACCUUCGGGGGCUGAUUUUUGGGCGCGGCUGUGCCCGUGGCCUAUUUUUGGCACACGGAGGCCGCCCGCCAAGUAUGGUGCCAUUCUGAGUCCCGCGGACGAACUUCGCCCACGCCCCCCACCAAGGCUAUAGCCCACCCGUUUUUUGGCCAUUUUUCCGCUGGGGGGUCUUGGGACCCCGACCUUCGGGGGCUGAUUUUUGGGCGCGGCUGUGCCCGUGGCCUAUUUUUGGUCUCGGAGGCCGCCCGCCAAGUCUGGGGCCAUUCCGAGUCCGGCGGACGAACUUCGCCCACGCCCCCCACAUAGGCUAUAGCCCACCCGUUUUUUGGCCAUUUUUCCGCUGGGGGGUCUUGGGACCCCGACCUUCGGGGGCUGAUUUUUGGGCACGGCUGUGCCCGUCGCCUAUUUUUGGCACACGGAGGCCGCCCGCCAAGUCUGGGGCCAUUCCGAGUCCCGCGGACAAACUUCGCCCACGCCCCCCACCAAGGCUAUAGCCCACCCUUUUUUUGGCCAUUUUUCCGCUGGGUGGUCUUGGGACCCCGACCUUCGGGGGCUGAUUUUUGGGCGCGGCUGUGCCCGUGGCCUAUUUUUGGCACACGAAGGCCGCCCGCCAAGUCUGGGGCCAUUCCGAGUCCCGCGGACGAACUUCGCCCACGCCCCCCACCAAGGCUAUAGCCCACCCUUUUUUUGGCCAUUUUUCCGCUGGGGGGUCUUGGGACCCCAACCUUCGGGGGCUGAUUUUUGGGCACGGCUGUGCCCGUGGCCUAUUUUUGGCACACGGAGGCAGCCCGCCAAGUAUGGUGCCAUUCCGAGUCCCGCGGACGAACUUCGCCCACUCCCCCCACCAAGGCUAUAGCCCACCCGUCUUUUGGCCAUUUUUCCGCUGGGGGGUCUUGGGACCCCGACCUUCGGGGGCUGAUUUUUGGGCGCGGCUGUGCCCGUGGCCUAUUUUUGGCAAACGGAGGCCGCCCGCCAAGUAUGGUGCCAUUCCGAGUACCGCGGACGAACUUCGCCUAUUUUUGGCACACGGAGGCCGCCCGCCAAGUAUGGUGCCAUUCCGAGUCCCGCGGACGAACUUCGCCCACUCCCCCCACCAAGGCUAUAGCCCACCCGUCUUUUGGCCAUUUUUCCUCUGGGGGGUCUUGGGACCCCGACCUUCGGGGGCUGAUUUUUGGGCGCGGCUGUGCCCGUGGCCUAUUUUUGGCACACGGAGGCUGUCCGCCAAGUCUGGGGCCAUUCCGAGUCCCGCGGACGAACUUCGCCCACGCCCCCCACCAAGGCUAUAGCCCACCCGUUUUUUGGCCAUUUUUCCGCUGGGGGGUUCUUGGGACUCCGACCUUCGGGGGCUGAUUUUUGGGCGCGGCUGUGCCCGUGGCCUAUUUUUGGCUCACGGAGGCCGCCCGCCAAGUAUGGUGCCAUUCCGAUUCCCGCGGACGAACUUCGCCCACUCCCCCCACCAAGGCUAUAGCCCACCCGUCUUUUGGCCAUUUUUCCGCUGGGGGGUCUUGGGUCCCCGACCUUCGGGGGCUGAUUUUUGGGCGCGGCUGUGCCCGUGGCCUAUUUUUGGCAAACGGAGGCCGCCCGCCAAGUAUGGUGCAAUUCCAAGUCCCGCGGACGAACUUUGCCCACUCCCCCCACCAAGGCUAUAGCCCACCCGUCUUUUGGCCAUUUUUCCACUGGGGGGUCUUGGGUCCCCGACCUUCGGGGGCUGAUUUUUGGGCGCGGCUGUGCCCGUGGCAUAUUUUUGGCAAACGGAGGCCGCCCGCCAAGUAUGGUGCCAUUCCGAGUCCCGCGGACGAACUUCGCCCACUCCCCCCACCAAGGCUAUAGCCCACCCGUCUUUUGGCCAUUUUUCCGCUGGGGGGUCUUGGGUCCCCGACCUUCGGGGCUGAUUUUUGGGCGCGGCUGUGCCCGUGGCCUAUUUUUGGCACACGGAGCCGCCCGCCAAGUAUGGUGCCAUUCCGAGUCCCGCGACGACUUCGCCCACUCCCCCCACCAAGGCUAUAGCCCACUCGUCUUUUGGCCAUUUUUCCGCUGGGGGGUCUUGGGUCCCCGACCUUCGGGGGCUGAUUUUUGGGCGCGGCUGUGCCCGUGGCCUAUUUUUGGCAAACGGAGGCCGCCCGCCA